AAACCUCCCUGGCUUUUUAGUGAUGGAGCGGGAACCUCUAAUUCGAGACACCACACUCAGAUGGCAGCAUCUCCAGUCUCUAGCUGUGUGUCUAUGAAGAGUGACGGCUCCAUGGCCAAACCUCCUGGCUUUAGUGAUGGAGCGGGAACCUCUAAUUCAUGCUUCACUGCUGAUGUAGCUG